AAGUUAAGAUUGAAAAGACGGGAAAUGUGCUCACGUGCAGCUCAGUGGGGAUCUACCCUAAACCUGAGCUCACCUGGACCACCAACCCUCCGUCCAGCGAGACCCUGCAGAACACAACCACAGUCCAGCAGAAUGAAGAGCAGCUUUACAGCAUCAGCAACUCUCUGGUACUUCCAGACAACUACACCCACCUGCUGUACUCCUGCACCGUCACCUCUGGCACCAACAACAACACGGAAACCUGGAGUCAGCCAAACAACAAACCUGAUAUUGGAGGAAGUGUUGGAGGAACUGUUGGAGGAAUUGUCGGAGCAUUGUCGGGUGUGUCCAAUUUGUUCAUUAUCUUGUGCUUCAGGAAAUACAUCUUCUCCAGGAAGUGUAUCUGCAGAAAGGAAGGGCAACAACAGCUGCAAGAAAAGGUCAACAGCUGCAGGGAAGGGUAACGGGGAAGAAGAGGUGCUGCAUGCAGAUGGAAGGGCCACAUCUCUUUUAUAAUGCCCUGUGACCUUCCUCUGAGGGGACAAGCGUCCACAUGUCGGGGGCAGAUGACGACAAGGUCCCUUGCAUUGCCUGCCAGUUCGUACUGUUUCGUGUAGCAGGCUUCCUAAGUCACCUAUGAAAGAAAUGUAACCACACGUUCCCUCGCACUCAACU